ensembl:rRNA 5S_rRNA 5S ribosomal RNA
CCUGAGAACACUCGAUCUUACCUGAUCUCGGAAGCUAAGCAGG